rnacentral:rRNA from 1 species
AUACGGAGGAUCCAAGCGUUAUCCGGAUUUAUUGGGUUUAAAGGGUGCGCAGGCGGCCUUAUAAGUCAGUGGUGAAAUCUCCCGGCUCAACCGGGAAACUGCCAUUGAUACUGUAAGGCUAGAAUACAGACGAGGUAGGCGGAAUGUAGCAUGUAGCGGUGAAAUGCUUAGAUAUGCUACAGAACACCAAUCGCGAAGGCAGCUUACCAGACUGUAAUUGACGCUAAGGCACGAAAGCGUGGGGAGCGAACAGGAUUAGAUACCCUAGUAGUCC